AAAUUGAAGAGUUUGAUCAUGGCUCAGAUUGAACGCUGGCGGCAGGCCUAACACAUGCAAGUCGAACGGUAACAGGAAGCAGCUUGCUGCUUUGCUGACGAGUGGCGGACGGGUGAGUAAUGUCUGGGAAACUGCCUGAUGGAGGGGGAUAACUACUGGAAACGGUGGCUAAUACCGCAUAACGUCGCAAGACCAAAGAGGGGGACCUUCGGGCCUCUUGCCAUCAGAUGUGCCCAGAUGGGAUUAGCUAGUUGGUGAGGUAACGGCUCACCAAGGCGACGAUCCCUAGCUGGUCUGAGAGGAUGACCAGCCACACUGGAACUGAGACACGGUCCAGACUCCUACGGGAGGCAGCAGUGGGGAAUAUUGCACAAUGGGCGCAA
rnacentral:rRNA from 1 species